GCCGAAAGCAUGGGGACAGCU
rnacentral:miRNA from 1 species